rnacentral:rRNA from 1 species
AUUGAACGCUAGCGGGAUGCCUUACACAUGCAAGUCGAACGAGUGGCGAACGGGUGAGUAAUGUAUCGGAACGAGACCAGUAGCGGGGGAUAACUAAUGGAAAGGUAGCUAAUACCGCAUAAGAUUGGAGCGGACGUUAUCGGAGUAGCUAGUUGGUGGGGUAACGGCUCACCAAGGCGACGAUCCGUAGCUGGUUUUAGAGGACGACCAGCCACACUGGGACUGAGACACGGCCCCGACUCCUACGUGAGGCAGCAGUGGGGAAUUUUGGACAAUGGGGGAAACCCUGAUCCAGCCAUCCCGCGUGUGCGAUGAAGGCCUUCGGGUUGUAAAGCACUUUUGGCAGGAAAGCGGUACCUGCAGAAUAAGCACCGGCUAACUACGUGCCAGCAGCCGCGGUAAUUC